AGAUGCCUUUUAAGCUUUCUCGCAUGAAGCCCCUGUAUGGUACCCCCCAUCGGAUUCCAAUAGCUUGCUGGAACUAGCCACUUGAGAAUGGAGCAGCCGAGAAGUACUCCGUAAAGUACGGCAAAGAGGAGGGGAGUACUUUGUGGAUGGCGACACAAAGUCUACCGGGAACUACUACUCUCUGUUUGGGAUUGGGGAUCAGUGGAAGUGCUUGCGGAUUGAUCCACCACUUUAAAUUAAGUGAAUUAAGGUUUCAGAGACAUUUUUUAGUACCGGAAAGCUGCUGCAGCGGAAUAAUAAAUAUCUACCACGGAUCGAAGACUUCCUCUUCAUUUUCAAUAUAAGGCCUAGAUCUAUAAAUACCCUUGGUUAAAAAUAGCCACAUUUUGGGUGCA